CUACGUGCCAGCAGCCGCGGUAAUACGUAGGGCGCGAGCGUUGUCCGGAAUUAUUGGGCGUAAAGGGCUUGUAGGCGGUUGGUCGCGUCUGCCGUGAAAUUCUCUGGCUUAACUGGGGGCGUGCGGUGGGUACGGGCUGACUUGAGUGCGGUAGGGGAGACUGGAACUCCUGGUGUAGCGGUGGAAUGCGCAGAUAUCAGGAAGAACACCGGUGGCGAAGGCGGGUCUCUGGGCCGUUACUGACGCUGAGGAGCGAAAGCGUGGGGAGCGAACAGGAUUAGAUACCCUGGUAGUCCAUGCCGUAAACGUUGGGCACUAGGUGUGGGGGACAUUCCACGUUUUCCGCGCCGUAGCUAACGCUUUAAGUGCCCCGCCUGGGGAGUACGGCCGCAAGGCUAAAACUCAAAGGAAUUGACGGGGGCCCGCACAAGCGGCGGAGCAUGCGGAUUAAUUCGAUGCAACGCGAAGAACCUUACCAAGGCUUGACAUGC
rnacentral:rRNA from 1 species